rnacentral:rRNA from 1 species
GAUGAACGCUGGCGGCGUGCUUAACACAUGCCAGUCGAACGGAAAGGCUCCUGCUUGCAGGGGUACUCGAGUGGCGAACGGGUGAGUAACACGUGGGUGAUCUGCCCUGCACUUCGGGAUAAGCCUGGGAAACUGGGUCUAAUACCGGAUAGGACGAUGGUUUGGAUGCCAUUGUGGAAAGUUUUUUCGGUGUGGGAUGAGCUCGCGGCCUAUCAGCUUGUUGGUGGGGUAAUGGCCUACCAAGGCGUCGACGGGUAGCCGGCCUGAGAGGGUGUACGGCCACAUUGGGACUGAGAUACGGCCCAGACUCCUACGGGAGGCAGCAGUGGGGAAUAUUGCACAAUGGGCGCAAGCCUGAUGCAGCGACGCCGCGUGGGGGAUGACGGCCUUCGGGUUGAAAACUCCUUUCGCUAGGGACGAAGCGCAAGUGACGGUACCUGGAGAAGAAGCACCGGCUAACUACGUG